GCCGGGCGUGGUGGCUCACGCCUGUAAUCCCAGCAUUUUGGGAGGCUGAGGCGGGUGGAUCACUUGAGGUCAGGAGUUCGAGACUAGCCUGGCCAACAUGGUAAAACCCUGUCUCUC
rnacentral:SRP_RNA from 1 species